rnacentral:rRNA from 1 species
UACGAAGGGUGCAAGCGUUAAUCGGAAUUACUGGGCGUAAAGGGUGCGUAGGCGGUUUGUUAAGUCUGUUGUGAAAUCCCCGGGCUCAACCUGGGAAUGGCAAUGGAUACUGGCAAGCUAGAGUGUGUCAGAGGAUGGUGGAAUUUCCGGUGUAGCGGUGAAAUGCGUAGAUAUGUGGAGGAACACCAAUGGCGAAGGCAGCCCCCUGGGAUAACACUGACGCUCAUGUACGAAAGCGUGGGUAGCAAACAGG